rnacentral:rRNA from 1 species
UACGUAGGAGGCAAGCGUUGUCCGGAUUUACUGGGCGUAAAGCGCGCGCAGGCGGCAGUGCAAGUAAGGUGUGAAAUCUCCCUGCUCAACGGGGAGGGUGCAUUUUAGACUGCACAGCUAGAGGUCGGUAGAGGGGGGUGGAAUUGCUGGUGUAGCGGUGAAAUGCGUAGAGAUCCGGAAGAACACCGGUGGCGAAGGCGGUCUGCUGGGCAGUUGCUGACACUGAUGCGCGACAGCGUGGGGAGCAAACAGG